UGAGGAAUAUUGGUCAAUGGACGCAAGUCUGAACCAGCCAAGUAGCGUGCAGGAUGACGGCCCUAUGGGUUGUAAACUGCUUUUAUAUGGGGAUAAAGUGGGGAACGUGUUCCCUUUUGCAGGUACCAUAUGAAUAAGGACCGGCUAAUUCCGUGCCAGCAGCCGCGGUAAUACGGAAGGUUCGGGCGUUAUUCGGAUUUAUUGGGUUUAAAGGGAGCGUAGGCCGUUUGGUAAGCGUGUUGUGAAAUGUAGGAGCUCAACUUCUAGAUUGCAGCGCGAACUGUCAGACUUGAGUGCGCACAACGUAGGCGGAAUUCAUGGUGUUGCGGUGAAAUGCUUAGAUAUCAUGAAGACCUACGGUUGCGAAGGCAGCUUACGGGAGCGCAACUGACGCUGAAGCUCGAAGGUGCGGGUAUCGAACAGG
rnacentral:rRNA from 1 species